UCACUUGAAUAACAAUAGAUAAAAACGUGCGAAACUUAUCCACAACACGACCCAUUUUUAUCUGACCAUCCAAUUUUUAAAAAUUUUAAAUCUACUUUUAGACAUUUCAUUUUUCUUUUAUUCAAACUAUUUAAUUAUUUCAUUUGGAAUAUCACGCAUGAUCCAUCUGAUAUGAAACUAUUCUUGAUAUGAAACUAUUUUAAAUCUGGGGGUGUCACAUUCCUUCCUCAUUUAAAGUCCUAACAUUCUCGUCGAGUUCAAGUACACUAACAAGCACCAGGCGAUAUGAGGCUUGUGUCGCAAGCCUUAACCGAUCUUACAGGGAGUCACGCUCCACCCACAAUAGUCAUCCAGAGUGUCGUGCUCUAUUCGCUGUAUAACUCUGGCUCAACCAAAACUCAUCUCAUACUUUCGACGCUAAAAUUAUUUUAUCUGUAGCACGUUUAACCCUCUUAACCUUUUUAACUUAACUAGCACUCAAAAUGUUAUAGCCAGAUUAAAAGAUUUAGCUCUAUUAUAUUCUUUAUACAGGACUAUUUCAAAUCCCGGAAGUGUCACAAUUUUAUUAUAAAAAAUCAAUAAAUGACUCAAAUCAAAGAAAUUAAGAAAACUAGACAGCAAAAUAAAAAAAUUUAAACAUAAAUAGUCAAAUUAAAAUAGUUUUUUUUACCUAUUAUUAUUAUUAUUAUUAUUAUUAUUAUUAAAACAACCAAAUAUAU
rnacentral:lncRNA from 1 species